rnacentral:rRNA from 1 species
AGCGAACCACUUCGGUGGUGAGCGGCGAACGGGUGAGUAACACGUAGGUGAUCUGCCCAUCAGACGGGGACAACGAUUGGAAACGAUCGCUAAUACCGGAUAGGACGAAAGUUUAAAGGUGCUUCUGGCACCGCUGAUGGAUGAGCCUGCGGCGCAUUAGCUAGUUGGUAGGGUAAAGGCCUACCAAGGCGACGAUGCGUAGCCGACCUGAGAGGGUGAACGGCCACACUGGGACUGAGACACGGCCCAGACUCCUACGGGAGGCAGCAGUAGGGAAUCUUCGGCAAUGGGCGAAAGCCUGACCGAGCAACGCCGCGUGAAUGAUGAAGGCCUUCGGGUUGUAAAAUUCUGUUAUAAGGGAAGAACGACUUUAGUAGGAAAUGGCUAGAGUGUGACGGUACCUUAUGAGAAAGCCACGGCUAACUACGUGCCAGCAGCCGCGGUAAUACGUAGGUGGCGAGCGUUAUCCGGAAUUAUUGGGCGUAAAGAGCGCGCAGGUGGUUGAUUAAGUCUGAUGUGAAAGCCCACGGCUUAACCGUGGAGGGUCAUUGGAAACUGGUCGACUUGAGUGCAGAAGAGGGAAGUGGAAUUCCAUGUGUAGCGGUGAAAUGCGUAGAGAUAUGGAGGAACACCAGUGGCGAAGGCGGCUUCCUGGUCUGUAACUGACACUGAGGCGCGAAAGCGUGGGGAGCAAACAGGAUUAGAUACCCUGGUAGUCCACGCCGUAAACGAUGAGUGCUAAGUGUUGGGGGUCGAACCUCAGUGCUGAAGUUAACGCAUUAAGCACUCCGCCUGGGGAGU